AUGCCCUGCACCACGCACAAUUCCUUGAGCAGAACGCGCCGUCAGGGCGAUCUCGAUGUCACACAACAAAGAACGUCCCCUCCCGCAUCUCCCGCCCCAGACAUGGCACACAGGGAAGGGAAGCUCCCGGCAGACUCUGCCUGCGUCGCCCCAGGAUCGCUCUGCGUUUCCAGAAAGAGCAGAAGAGGGGCACGGCAGAAGGCAGCAUCCUCACUGGGGAUGUGUUCCUCAAAGGCUGCGGGUACAAGGAGAGCUUUGUCUGGAGGCAUCGCGCUGUGCUACAAGCCUGCCAAGGGGAGCAGCAGCACUUCACGGAACUUCAGCCCAGCGGAUUUCUGCACCGCGCCGCUGGGCAGUGCCACGGCCCUUCGCCUUCCCCGAGGCUCCUACAGCUCUGUGCCCGCUCCGCACGGAACCGCCGGGCAAAAGCACGCUCCGAACGCCGCGGAAAGCUGUCAGCGUGCCCUCAGUGCCACCCGAACGUACUACGCUCGGCGCGCCGCCUCGCCAGACGGGAGGGCGAGGAUUUCAGAGAGAUGCCGGCCGCCCAGAGCCGCCACAAGCAAGAACCAAGCGCGUGAAGCGCGAGGAGGACCCCGCGCCCGUACUGGUGGCAGCACCCGGCCCAACGCCCCGAGUUCCUCCCUCCCCACAGCCCCCGGUACCGGGCAGGAGCAGAGGUGAGGCUGCGGAGCUCAGCUUCCUCCUUUCUUUCUUCUUUCUAUGCCGCCUUUGGGGCAAUGCCACCCCUCGACGGCACGGCAGAGCGGAGCACCUCCUGCCCAACACCACCCCCCAGGCUGCCCGCCCCCGCCCGGGCCGGUACCCGCCGCCCGGGCCCUCCCCGCCUUUGUGCCCGCGGCCUCCCGCCGCCAGGCCCGCCCCGCCCGCUGUCAGCCGCCACCGCCUCGGCGCGGCCCCGCGGCUCCGCCGCGAGAGCCCCGACCCCUCCGCGAGAGCCCCGACCCCGCCGCCCGCCUACCGUGCGGCUCCGCCAUCCUCCUGA
rnacentral:lncRNA from 1 species